rnacentral:rRNA from 1 species
AGUUAAUAGCUGCAUUAUUUGACGUUAGCGACAGAAGAAGCACCGGCUAACUCCGUGCCAGCAGCCGCGGUAAUACGGAGGGUGCGAGCGUUAAUCGGAAUUACUGGGCGUAAAGCGCAUGCAGGUGGUUUGUUAAGUCAGAUGUGAAAGCCCGGGGCUCAACCUCGGAAUUGCAUUUGAAACUGGCAGACUAGAGUACUGUAGAGGGGGGUAGAAUUUCAGGUGUAGCGGUGAAAUGCGUAGAGAUCUGAAGGAAUACCGGUGGCGAAGGCGGCCCCCUGGACAGAUACUGACACUCAGAUGCGAAAGCGUGGGGAGCAAACAGGAUUAGAUACCCUGGUAGUCCACGCCGUAAACGAUGUCUACUUGGAGGUUGUGGCCUUGAGCCGUGGCUUUCGGAGCUAACGCGUUAAGUAGACCGCCUGGGGAGUACGGUCGCAAGAUUAAAACUCAAAUGAAUUGACGGGGGCCCGCACAAGCGGUGGAGCAUGUGGUUUAAUUCGAUGCAACGCGAAGAACCUUACCUACUCUUGACAUCCAGAGAACUUUCCAGAGAUGGAUUGGUGCCUUCGGGAACUCUGAGACAGGUGCUGCAUGGCUGUCGUCAGCUCGUGUUGUGAAAUGUUGGGUUAAGUCCCGCAACGAGCGCAACCCUUAUCCUUGUUUGCCAGCGAGUAAUGUCGGGAACUCCAGGGAGACUGCCGGUGAUAAACCGGAGGAAGGUGGGGACGACGUCAAGUCAUCAUGGCCCUUACGAGUAGGGCUACACACGUGCUACAAUGGCGCAUACAGAGGGCAGCCAACUUGCGAAAGUGAGCGAAUCCCAAAAAGUGCGUCGUAGUCCGGAUUGGAGUCUGCAACUCGACUCCAUGAAGUCGGAAUCGCUAGUAAUCGUGGAUCAGAAUGCCACGGUGAAUACGUUCCCGGGCCUUGUACACACCGCCCGUCACACCAUGGGAGUGGGCUGCAAAAGAAGUAGGUAGUUUAACCUUCGGGGGGACGCUUACCACUUUGUGGUUCAUGACUGGGGUGAAGUCGUAACAAGGUAGCGCUAGGGGAACCUGGCGCUGGAUCACCUCCUUAAACGAUGAU